rnacentral:rRNA from 1 species
GACGAACGCUGGCGGCGUGCCUAAUACAUGCAAGUAGAACGCUGAAGAGAGGAGCUUGCUCUUCUUGGAUGAGUUGCGAACGGGUGAGUAACGCGUAGGUAACCUGCCUUGUAGCGGGGGAUAACUAUUGGAAACGAUAGCUAAUACCGCAUAACAAUAGGUGACACAUGUCAUUUAUUUGAAAGGGGCAAUUGCUCCACUACAAGAUGGACCUGCGUUGUAUUAGCUAGUAGGUGAGGUAACGGCUCACCUAGGCGACGAUACAUAGCCGACCUGAGAGGGUGAUCGGACACACUGGGACUGAGACACGGCCCAGACUCCUACGGGAGGCAGCAGUAGGGAAUCUUCGGCAAUGGGGGCAACCCUGACCGAGCAACGCCGCGGGAGUGAAGAAGGUUGUCGGAUCGUAAAGCUCUGUUGUAAGUCAAGAACGAGUGUGAGAGUGGAAAGUUCACACUGUGACGGUAGCUUACCAGAAAGGGACGGCUAACUACGUG